UAGUUGGCUACAGAAGUAGAUAGUGUGU
rnacentral:piRNA from 1 species